UUGGAGGGCAAGUCUGGUGCCAGCAGCCGCGGUAAUUCCAGCUCCAAUAGCGUAUAUUAAAGUUGUUGCAGUUAAAAAGCUYGUAGUUGAAUUUCAGGCCUGGCUGGACGGUCCGCCCUUCGGGUGAGUACUGUCUGUGGUCGGGUCCUACCUUCUGGCGAAGCGUCAUGGCCUUAACCGGCCGUGGCGGGGAACCAGGACUUCUACUGUGAAAAAAUUAGAGUGUUCAAAGCAGGCAAAUCGCUUGGAUACAUUAGCAUGGAAUAAUGGAAUAGGACAAUGGUUCUAUUUGUUGGUUUCUAGGACCGUUGUAAUGAUUAAUAGGGAUAGUUGGGGGCAUUAGUAUUCAAUUGUCAGAGGUGAAAUUCUUGGAUUUAUUGAAGACUAACUACUGCGAAAGCAUUUGCCAAGGAUGUUUUCAUUAAUCAAGAACGAAAGUUAGGGGAUCGAAGACGAUCAGAUACCGUCGUAGUCUUAACCAUAAACUAUGCCGACUAGGAAUCGGGCGAUGUUGAAAAAAUGACGCGCUCGGCACCUUAUGGGAAACCAAAG
rnacentral:rRNA from 1 species